rnacentral:rRNA from 1 species
AGAACGAACGCUGGCGGCGUGCUUAACACAUGCAAGUCGAGCGGAAAGGCCCUUCGGGGUACUCGAGCGGCGAACGGGUGAGUAACACGUGAGUAAUCUGCCCCUAGCUCUGGGAUAGCUCCGGGAAACCGGGAUUAAUACCGGAUACGACCACCUUAGACAUCUUUUGUGGUGGAAAGAAUUUCGGCUAGGGAUGAGCUCGCGGCCUAUCAGCUUGUUGGUGGGGUAACGGCCUACCAAGGCGACGACGGGUA